rnacentral:rRNA from 1 species
AGGGAGCAAGCGUUAUCCGGAUUUACUGGGUGUAAAGGGCGAGUAGGCGGGCUGGUAAGUUGGAAGUGAAAUCUGGGGGCUCAACCCACAAACUGCUUUCAAAACUGCUGGUCUUGAGUGAUGGAGAGGCAGGCGGAAUUCCGUGUGUAGCGGUGAAAUGCGUAGAUAUACGGAGGAACACCAGUGGCGAAGGCGGCCUGCUGGACAUUAACUGACGCUGAGGAGCGAAAGCGUGGGGAGCAAA